AGAGUUUGAUCCUGGCUCAGGACGAACGCUGGCGGCGUGCUUAACACAUGCAAGUCGAACGGAAAGGCCCUGCUUGCAGGGUACUCGAGUGGCGAACGGGUGAGUAACACGUGGGUGAUCUGCCCUGCACUUCGGGAUAAGCUUGGGAAACUGGGUCUAAUACCGGAUAGGAACCAUCUUUAGUGUGGUGGUUGGAAAGUUUUUUCGGUGUAGGAUGAGCUCGCGGCCUAUCAGCUUGUUGGUGGGGUAAUGGCCUACCAAGGCGGCGACGGGUAGCCGGCCUGAGAGGGUGUACGGCCACAUUGGGACUGAGAUACGGCCCAGACUCCUACGGGAGGCAGCAGUGGGGAAUAUUGCACAAUGGGCGCAAGCCUGAUGCAGCGACGCCGCGUGGGGGAUGAAGGCCUUCGGGUUGUAAACUCCUUUCGCUAGGGACGAAGCUUUUUGUGACGGUACCUAGAUAAGAAGCACCGGCUAACUACGUG
rnacentral:rRNA from 1 species